AUUGAACGCUAGCGGCAGGCCUUACACAUGCAAGUCGAACGGAGUGGCGAACGGGUGAGUAAUGUAUGGGAACGUGCCUAGUCGCGGGGGAUAACUACGCGAAAGCGUAGCUAAUACCGCAUACUAUCGGAGGGGCCGAUAUGGGAUUAGCUAGUUGGUGGGGUAAAGGCUCACCAAGGCGACGAUCCGUAGCUGGUUUGAGAGGACGACCAGCCACACUGGGACUGAGACACGGCCCAGACUCCUACGGGAGGCAGCAGUGGGGAAUUUUGGACAAUGGGGGAAACCCUGAUCCAGCCAUCCCGCGUGUACGAUGAAGGCCUUCGGGUUGUAAAGUACUUUUGGCAGGGAAGCGGUACCUGCAGAAUAAGCACCGGCUAACUACGUGCCAGCAGCCGCGGUAAUAC
rnacentral:rRNA from 1 species